CCCACGGUCCCCACAGGGUGGAUGCGGAAAAGAAAUGGAGCUGAGAUGCAUCUGUGUGCUGUGAGUGCUAUUGCUGAGGACAGGGAGGAGCCCCAGCUGAUCAAAGGGCUUUGGUAAGAACAGUGGUGAAAGCAGGAGUGGAGAUGGAAGGCUUGGAUUGCUCUCGGAGGAACGGUGGAAGGGUCAAAUGUUCUGCAGGUUCAGCACGCGCUGCGCCCUGCCUGCGCCCUGCCUGGUUUUUUGUCCUUUCCUUUUUAGGGUAGGAAAACAAAUUUCUGGGGCAGGAGAAGAAGAAAUGCAGCAGUCUUCUGUGCACGGCUCAUUUUGCGUGAGUUGCCAGGUGCUGCUGUGGUAAUGGGUGCUGAUGAGGCAGCCUUCAUGGCAGGGCUGUGGCUUUAUUUUAUGUCAGAAUUUGAGGCCUACGAUUUUCCCACUCAACUGGGGUGUUGAUGCUGCUGCACGUAUCUCCCAUUUUGCCCUUCUGCUUUGUGUAACAGAAUAGCAAAACAUGCCAUCUCUGUGUGCAAUUUCUGAACACAGCGGUGAUGCAGGCACUCGCUGAGGUCACAGUGGCUGCCGGGCUGGGAGCGUUUGUGCCCCAGCUGGGAGCAGAGCUGGUGCUCUAGUGAGCGUGGUGCACACUGAGACCGAGCUCUGUGCUUUCAUUGAGAGAUCUUCCUGUGAGAGCCCACUGGAAGCAGCGCUGCGGCGUGUGUGAGAGCUGGGCACAGCUCCGGCUGAGCAGUGGCCAGGUGAGCUGGGGUUGGUGCUGGGUGUCUCAGCAGGAAAGCUGGGCUGGGGUGGGCAGCUGCGUCAGCCCUUGUCCAGGCUGGCGGUGAGACAAAAGGAGUUUUCUUCACGACAGCAACACCAGCCGUGUGCUUCAAGGUGCAAAACUAUGGAGGAGAUGGAGAAGAACGCUUGCUGUCAGAACUCAUGGCAGCUGCACGGGAGCUGGGUGGUUGGUUUACAAAAGGAGGUGUUGGGGACUGAGGCAGUUGAAGAGUGAAGCCAGCUCUUUCCACCAGCGGGGGGUCAGUCCCUGUGGAGAGGACCCCAGGAACGUGAGCUUCCUCUGAGACGUUCCCCACAUGUCCCAGCAGGGACACAGACGCGGUUCCCAUUCCUGCUUUGCGCGUGGAAAGAAGCAGCGCCGUGCUGUUCCCCAUGCUAGGGAGCAGCAGCCAGCAGGCUGCCCCAGUGCCAGCUGGGCCUUGCAGCGCGCAGAGGGACGCGAUGGGGA